CCCUGGUCGACGAAUCCAGACACUGGGGUGAUUCAAGAUUUCUUCACGAAUGCUCUGGGGUCACUGAUGUGUGAUGCCAAUGGUUUUUCAGAACUCUUGUACAAAAUCAUCACGCGCAUCCGUGUCCGUUCAAUUGUAUCAGAAGGUGCAACAAUGGUGACAGGAGGCCUCGGAGGCCUCGGUCAGCUGGUAGCUGCCGCAGAUGCAAGUUCUGGUACCACACACAUCACUUUGCUUGGACGAUCUGGUAAGACGCAUAUCAUGGAUCACAUGCUGGUCGUGAGUGCUACGUGUGUAGUUAUGACGCGCGGGGAUGUUUCCACUGCCGAAGAAGUGGUAUCAUCCGCUUGUGCUUCAAUAGCGCCGGUGCGGUGCAUGCUUCAUGCCAGCGGCCUCCUUCGUGACGCCAUGAUCCAUAACCAAAGUGUGGGUGCCGUAGCUGCGGUAAUGGCUCCAAAGUGCGCUGGAAUUGUGCAGUUCGAUUCUGAGACCUUAGCCCGCGACAUGCGGAUGACCGUGGUGUUUUCCUCGGUCGCCUCACUUCUCGGCUCUGGUGGCCAGGCCAACUAUUGUGCUGCAAAUGGAUGGCUCGAUGCUCAUGCGCGCGUUGCAACUAUGCAAGGCCGCAACGAAACCAGUAUACAAUGGGGAGCAUGGAGCGGUGGUCGAGGCAUGGCCGCGAUUGACAAUAAUACCGUUCACCGCAUGGAGCGUCUUGGAGUCGGCGUCAUCACGCCCGAGCAGGGUCUAAGCACGUUGCGUGCCAUCAAAAACUCCGGCGGGCAUCCUGUAGUGUCUGCAAAUCCGUUCACAUGGGAUCGGUUUUUGCGCACCAUGGAUCCCAUUCCACCGUUCUUCGGCGCGUUUGCACACCUUGCACCGCGUGAGCUAGUGGCAGAUUAUGUUGCUGCUGACAUCAAAAUUAGGCGCCUUGACGUUGACAACACCAUGGAGGCUUCUGUGGUCGAGGCAAAAGUUACCGACUGCGUGCGAGAUAUUUUGGGCACCAGUGUUGCUGUCAAUGAGCCCCUCACUGACGCAGGCCUCGAUUCGCUUGGGGCCGUUGAGCUACGAGAUGCCAUAAAUGCAUCUCUUGGCGUUCAACUUCCGAGCACCGUGGUGUUUGAUUAUCCAUCUGUCGGUGCCAUGUCUGGCUACAUCACGUCGAAAAUGCAUCCGGGCGUUGAUGAUGCAGAGGACUGUGUCAUUGAUAAACAUAAAAUCGCCAGCGGUGUACAACGAGCGAUCAUCGGUGUUCUCGGCACGUCCAGCCGGACGGCAUACGAUACGCUCUGCACUCGUAACGCAGUGGACACCAUCGCGUGCGUACCACUCGCACGAUGGUGCCUCGACGUACCUGGUGAUACAACGAAUUUGGGGGCACGUUUUGGCAGCUUUGUCAGCAGUGUGGACCAGUUCGACUUCGAUCUUUUCAACGUGUCCUUCACCGAGGGUGUGUUGCUGGAUCCUCAACAACGCAUGCUCUUAGAAGCAACGUGGGAGGCCACGACUGACGCAUGCCGCGCCAAGGCGCCUGUACAGUCGGGUGUUACUGUUGGUAUCUCUGGCAGUGAAUAUGGCAGAAUGGCCGACAACGUCAGUGCGUAUACCGCGACUGGUGGCGCUCUCAGCGUCGCUUGCGGGCGCAUUUCGUACACGUUCGGCAUGCAAGGCAUAUGCAUGUCCGUUGACACGGCGUGCUCGUCGUCGCUAGUGGGCUCACAUAUCGCAAUCACAAGUAUUGUCGUAGGCGAGUCUGAUUCCGUUGCCGCGGGUGGUGUGAACGUAACGCUCAAUCCGAUGACGAGUGAGAUGUUCAGCAAAGCCGGCAUGUUGUCAAGAGACGGCCGCUGCAAGACCCUCGACUCGAGCGCGGAUGGCUACGUGCGUGGCGAGGCGUGCGUGGUAUUCGAGAUUUGCUCUCUGACGAUCAUGAAGACGUCAUUGGAACUUCAUUCAAGCACCGUGGUCGCGUCGGCAGUGAACCAAGAUGGCCGCUCAAGCUCCCUCACCGCCCCUAACGGACCCUCGCAACAGCGUGUUAUUCGCAGCUGUCUAGGGUCUGCUAAAACGGAUCCAGGUGCGGUCGACGGUCUCGAGAUGCACGGAACCGGCACGCCACUUGGCGAUCCAAUCGAAGUGGGCGCUGCCCACGCAGUGCUCGUGGAACACACACACGAUUCGCGGCUCACGGCGCUUGUUCUUUCGGCCAUGAAGUCUUGCAUGGGCCACACCGAGCCCGCUGCAGGUGCAGUCGGCCUUGCAAACGCCGUGAUCGGUGUUGGGUGCAGCCUCGUACGACCCAUCGUCCAUCUGACUGGCAUCAACCCACAUCUUUACAACAUAGCGCACAACUCUGGAUGCGGUUUGACAAAGGCCAUGGCACUUCCAAGACAACAAGUUGCGACCAUCGUUGCCGCGCAUGACUGGCCCCUGCACCGUGGGGUCAGCUCGUUUGCGUUCCAAGGUACGAAUGCGCAUGUGCUGAUUGCGGCACCUGUCUCAUCGAGUGCGGGAGUCGCGCAUCGUGGCCGAUCCUCGACAUGGCAUCGCAUGCGACUUUGGAUUAUGUUGGUGCGACAUCCGAUGCUUCAAAGUGCUACUGUCGACCUAUUUUCAUCUUCUGUACACUACGAAGCAUGCAUCGCAUGCAACCGACAGGUCUACUUGUGGGAUCACAGGGUCUUAGAUAAAGGACUAUUUCCAGCUUCUGCAUUCCUCGAGGUUGGCUUAUCCGCGGUAUGGCUCCUUGCGGACGCGGCGACUGCAUUGUGCGACGCCGUGAUAACAGCUCCGAUGGUCCUUCAGAAUGGCAUCGCGCCGUCUACCGUGGUGUGCUCUAUCAACAUGCUAGCAUGCGACGUUCGACUUCGCUCCGCCUCAAAUGAGCGACCCCACUUCACAUCCACUUGGAGUUCGAUGCACGAGCAACGCACUCAAUUUGUCCACACCGUGACACGUGCGUUAGCUCUUUGUCACAGAAGGACACGUGGGGCACCCGCAUUUUCAUCGCUUGGUGUUAUUUCACACGGUUCCAGCAUUCCGGGGGACGACUGUUGCAGCAGCGAGAGCUCGGGUAUUGUUGUCCUUCCUGCCGUUCUCGAUGCAAACUUCCAGCUCGCUUGCGCCUCUGAAAGUGAUUCCGACUCUUCGAAAUUGCGCAUUCCUGCGGGUGUCGGUGCCUUUUGGGUGGCGAAUACAUCUUCAGCGCGUGCUGUUUGGGCCAAGGUCACGUCCCGACCCGCCGACCUUUCCGAUCACUAUAUGUAUGCAGAAAGUAGUUGCACUACCAGUCUCAUUGGUCUCGAGGUCAAGCCAGCGCGGGCAUCGAGAGUUGAGCGCGUAAAAUCUACCAUUGCAACUUCAAGACUCACGCAUGGUAUGAUGUACGAGGUUGCAUGGCUCACGCGAGCUUCGAGUGAUGGUCCGGAGAAGGACGCGUAUUCAUAUAAUGCCAUCUCGCUUUCAGCAUCACGGCAUCAGCCUUGUCGAAAUGCACUGAAUAGUAUUCAAGCUGCGCAACUUGCAGCCGUAUCAAAGAUAUCGAAAAUGGCAGUACAAACAGCAGGGUCUGUAAGUAGGGCGACCACGCGUACCAGUGGGGCGGAAGUGUGGGCCGUCAUGCGUUGUGCGGCGCCAGAACUGCAGGCGAGUACUGCGAUCCUAGGGUGUGACCGCGAUCCUGCGGGUGUGAGCAUUACGUUGCCUGUGCAAGCGCGCACACACGGCGCUCAAGGUAUUACGAUGCGCGGUGGAUCCAUCUCAACUCCUGUGUUGAUUCCCUGGUCGACGAAUCCAGACACUGGGGUGAUUCAAGAUUUCUUCACGAAUGCUCUGGGGUCACUGAUGUGUGAUGCCAAUGGUUUUUCAGAACUCUUGUACAAAAUCAUCACGCGCAUCCGUGUCCGUUCAAUUGUAUCAGAAGGUGCAACAAUGGUGACAGGAGGCCUCGGAGGCCUCGGUCAGCUGGUAGCUGCCGCAGAUGCAAGUUCUGGUACCACACACAUCACUUUGCUUGGACGAUCUGGUAAGACGCAUAUCAUGGAUCACAUGCUGGUCGUGAGUGCUACGUGUGUAGUUAUGACGCGCGGGGAUGUUUCCACUGCCGAAGAAGUGGUAUCAUCCGCUUGUGCUUCAAUAGCGCCGGUGCGGUGCAUGCUUCAUGCCAGCGGCCUCCUUCGUGACGCCAUGAUCCAUAACCAAAGUGUGGGUGCCGUAGCUGCGGUAAUGGCUCCAAAGUGCGCUGGAAUUGUGCAGUUCGAUUCUGAGACCUUAGCCCGCGACAUGCGGAUGACCGUGGUGUUUUCCUCGGUCGCCUCACUUCUCGGCUCUGGUGGCCAGGCCAACUAUUGUGCUGCAAAUGANNN
rnacentral:lncRNA from 1 species